AAAAAUUUCACGAUCAGCUUAAAAAUAUUCGUCGUAAUUUUAUCCUAUAUGCUGAUCAUAAUCAUUUCCAUUGCAAGUUUUAAUAUUCAUAUUAGACAGAAUGAAUACAGCGCGUUUUUAUGUUUAAAAUAUUUGCCUAAUUUAUGGUAAAAAGUUUAGGUAUGAUAAAAAUGCUGUUUGAUGUAUUCAUCACCUUUUGAAAUGGCAUAUUUGAUUCACACUAAAUCUCUGUAUAGAUGUAUGUUAAGAUACUUUAAUGCCUUAUUUAGAAUGUAUGUUUCACUAUUCUUUGAGACUGACAAGAGCUUGCAAACUUAGCAAUUUGAAUUUAAUAUCUAUACAUUGCUAUACCUCUGCUAAAGGCAUAAGAUUAUGUGCCCAAUUUUUAUUGAACACUGUAGUAUUUAUUCUUACAUAUCAUUAUGUAUUAAUUACCCAUGGUUGAUCUGCUAGAGCUAUUGUUAUAAAACACGCAAUAAAAAUUAGCAAGGAAUGCUCACUAAAAAUUCAAAUUUCACUUGCUUAAAGCAGCAGCUGCACUUGCACUUGUAAGACAAUUAUCGCAGUAUUUUUUACUCAGUGAUUCAUGAUUGAUUCAUCGAUGAAGCUGUAUACACAUAUGAACCAAAAAAGCAUGGAAAAUUGUAUUUGCCUUGUUUACUUCAAAGUAGAGGAACUUAAGCAAAAUGGACAUUGUGAAUUUUCUUCGUGUGAUGUUAUAUAACUGUUAAUAUUAAAAAAAAACAUAGGCAUCAACUGUUCCUUAAGUACACUAAGUAAAGAUAUAACUAGCUUCGCUUCAAGGAAAUUACGAAGAGAGAGAUUUUUGGAUUUGAUUUUAUUAUAAAAAUAUUGUUAUAUUUGAUUUAGAAAAGUUAUGUACAUGUAAUAAAAGCAGAAUAUUUGAUGUACAGAUAAGAGAUACUGUAAGAAUCUAGAAAUUAUAUGAUGUCAGAUAUUUAUUUAGGAAAAUUGAAAAUAUUCACCUUAAUCAGUGUGUGAAGGUUAAUAAUCUUGAAAAACUUUUCAUUGUAUAUCUGUGUGACAUAGUGCUAAUUAACUGUUAUUAAUAGACUUUCUAUUAUAGGGGGACUUUUAAUGCAAUUAAUCUUAAAUAAUAAGAUGAACUCUUUGAAAACUGUUUAUGCAAAUAUAAGAGAAUAAAAACAAUUCGUAAUAUCCUAUAUAAAAAAAAAAACUAUUUGUUUAUGAAUUAGAAUGUCUUCGAUGAAAUACAUUCACUGCCAUUGAAUAUCACUGCCAAAUAAAAAUAAAAAAAACGUUCUCACGAGAAGGACAAUAAGUAAAUAACUUAUGAACUCUAUUACAUUUCUAAAAAGAAUAAAUACAGCGAAGAAUCCUCUCCUAAAGUGAGCGAAAGAACUAGUAUCGAAAUUAAUAACGCUCGAUGCUUAAAUGAUUACGAUAAAUGAAUCGACGAGCGACCGAGUGAAGAGUGUAGCGUAAAAUCCUCCACCUAUAGGAACAAAGUAUCAUAAUUUGUUCCGCGUAAAAAUAAAUCAAAAAGAAAGAAAGAGUAUCAAAUAUCGUUCAGCUUACACCGACGCAGGCGCAGUGGAACUCUAUCAUCGUGACGUCAGCGUCUGCAGCGCCGUGUAGUGGACCCGCUGGGCAAGGAAGCCUGUCUUGCCUCUGACAUCAGGAAAACAACAAUAUCGCUUUCCCCCUUAACUCUAUCCCCCUGGAGCGAGCGGAUCGGGGAGGGUGAACAGGGGGGGCCCAAACGACUAUUUUUCGUAGACGCACAACACCUCCCAAUAUUUUUGUUUUCCUUCCAAGUUUGUUUAAGUGAUGGAGAGAACGAUUUUCUAGUGAGAGGCAUUUCAGGGAGAAAAAAACUGAGCCCUGUUACACCCUGCCCCGUCCGUGAAAACCCCUUCACACUGCCGAAGCUUUAGCCAUGCCUAUCCGAAGAAGGGUGGCAGACGAAAAUUUACCGGUGAGUGGACAAGGGGCAGUCUCCGGACCGCCGGCCAGGAAUAAGUAGUUGACAGAGGAGGCCUACUCUUAGUAGGUGUCUAUCUCUGUGAGAAGCAUCGUCGGCGAAGGUGGACCACAUGAACUCGUUUGCCAACAGACCGCGGCUCCGACGAAAAGUGAAGCACAUUCUUUUUUCCACUAUGCUUUGCUGCGGAAAACGAAAGGACGCCAGAGGCGACACGGUGGAAACCAUGACGGAGGCAGGAGGGGGGGUGGUGCGGCGCCUCCGUCCCCCCCAGCACGGCAUCGUGGUGCAGCGGGAUUUUCGCAAGGUGAGCGGCAUCAGCAAUGAGAUCUUCAGACAGAUCGAGGCCGUGGAGAACGACUUCGAUGCGGCCACGGCAGCACACGUGGACGCCGUUGAGAACAGAGGGGGAGAGAUGCUCAUUCGUAUCUUUGAUCCUUGCAGCCUGGGCCGGGUGGGCGCAGACACCUACAGAAAGUACCUGAGCGCCGCAGAUGCCUCCCACAUCGUCCGCUUUGUUGAGAUCAUCAAAAGACCCGGGCAAACCUUAGGACUUUAUAUUAGAGAAGGUGAUGGCAUUCGAGAGACCGAAGGAGUUUUCAUUUCCCGCAUUGCCCUAGAAUCAGCGGUAUAUAACAGCGGAGUGCUUCGGGUUGGCGACGAGAUUUUGGCUGUCAACUUAGUUGAUGUCAGGCAUAUGAGCUUGGACGAUGUCGUUAUCAUCAUGUCCAUUCCACGCCGUCUUGUGCUCACCAUUCGAUCUCGAAUCAGUGCCGGAGGUUCACGAGUUAGGGAACUAACGAGGAGACCACCGGAAGGAAGACCACCUGUUGUAGUCAUUAAAAAAGAAACCACGGACGACAGAUCGAACGAAGAGAACAGCGAAAAUGGUCAUCUGAUACGAGCUCGAACCAAAGGUCUUCCCCCUGAGAUACCAGCCAUUGCCGUCAAGUUGAGCGAACGCGACCAUCAGCGGGAGCGCCACCGGUAUGAGCAGCCCACAAAGCACCAGACGCCACCCGAGGACCUCUACUACAACUCCCAGCCACCCAGCAGCAGCCUCCAUCGCCCUCCAGCCAAAAUCCCUCACCAUCACCAUCCCUAUCACCAACCACCUCCCUCUCACGAGCAAUAUACAGCCAGCAGGAGGAGGAAGGAGCCCCUUCCAUCCCAACCCAGGUGGGUGGUUCCGCCCCCAGUUACUGAUCAGCCCACCAAGGCGGCUCCACAUUACAAGACGACACCGCUGCCGCCUGAAAGCAGCUACUACCCAGAUGAGCGUGCCACCAAGGUGGUGGAGACCUACGAGCAGACUCAGCCGGAGAGGUUUUAUCCUCCUCACCACCGCAGGACUCGCAGCAUGGUGCCUCCCACGCGAGGUGGUUACGAUAUAGAAGUCGCCGCAGCGCCCCUGCGUCGGUCUACAGGCAUGUUGAGUGACUACCAUCAUCGCAGGGGUUACCAACAGCGUGGUGGCAGGGGCGGCAUUUUGAGACGACGGGGAGGGGAGGAAAGUGCAUCUGACACAGAGGUACAGGAAUUCUGGACGAUGGGUAGUUCCCGGCGCAGCUACUACAGCGGGGCCGGACGAAGCAAUUCACUGCCAAGAUCUCUAAGAAGCGGAUAUGGUCGCCACCAGGCGGUCCGCUUCACCACUUCCCUGCCUUACGAUUCCCAGGAGGAAAGCGACGGGGCCGUAUCCGCGCCAGAGCUUCCGGCCACCAGGUCGAUGAGGAGGCCCCAUCCUCAGGGUAGUCGCCGAUCACCGAGUGUGUUCACAUCGAACGAAUACAAGGCGUGGAUGAGCCGAGCCCCAUCCACCUCUGCAAUCUACGAGAGGCUUCGGAGAGGCAACCACGCCAAUAAUCUGGGAAGGAUAGCAUACAGCGCGGAGUCCCUGCUGGACACCAUGAGACAGGAGGAACACCGUGGCAUUUAUACAUUCCCCCGGCGUCUCCAUACUCCGAGCGAAGACUCACUGCCAGCGGGAGGGGCGUACGCACCCAGAAUGACCGUACCCCACCCCACGCCCAUCAAAUCCUCGGAGGAACGCCUGCAUCUCGUCAGCCUAGACCCCAGGGACUUCAACAAAUAUCGGCCUCGCGCGACCAUCACUCCUGUAAGCGUGGGGCCCCGUGAACCUACACAGGCCCCUCGGGGCUACAGCGGCCUGCUGUGGAUUCACUUACUCUCCGGUCGCGGCCUCAAGCCCACCGGUCACAGCGACCACUUCCGUGACCUGUAUUGCGUCAUCGAGUGCGACAGAGUCCACAAAGCUAGAACGGUCAUACGGACAGGAGAACACAGUUUUGACUGGGACGAAAUUUUUGAAAUUGAUUUAGUGGAGAACAGAGAAGUUGCCUUUCUACUUUACACUUGGGACCCCAGGUUUCGGCACAAGUUGUGCUACAAGGGCACCCUGCACCUGUCCGCUCUGCUCCGCGAGUCCCCUGUGCACAGCCUAGCACUGAAGCUGGAGCCCCGCGGUACCCUGUACCUGAAGCUGCGAUUCAAGAACCCCACGCAGACCUUUCAGAGGAUGCCCGCGGCAUCGGAGGGGGCACUCUUCGGGGUGGACCUCGAGAGAGUGCUCGUACGAGAGGACUCAGGAUACGGGGUACCCUUAAUAGUCAAAAGGUGCACCGAAGAAGUGGAACGGAGGGGCUUGGACAUCGUCGGCAUCUAUAGGCUGUGCGGUUCCGCUCUCCGGAAAAGGCUGCUGCGAGAAGAUUUCGAAAGGAACUCACUCAUGGCGAACCUAUCCGUGGAGCAUGUUCCCGACAUCAAUGUUGUUACAAGUUUGUUAAAAGAUUACCUUCGCGAACUGCCAGAACCGUUGUUGAGCAAAAGCCUCUACGAUAUGUUAGUAGAUGGACUUAGUGUCUGCCUGCCCGAUGAUCCAGAUGGCAGCGCCAAACUCAUGUUCAGUAUUCUUGAAUGUUUACCUAAGGCUAACCUGUGCACUGUUCUGUUACUGCUGGAUCACCUUCGUCUCAUCGCCAGUCACUGCGACCGCAAUAAGAUGACGCCUCAGGGACUAGCGAUGGCUUUUGGUCCGGUGCUCAUGUGCCAUGCAGAGACUCCCACUGCCACAGUCGACAUUCGACGACCCAUAGACAUUAUGAACUUCUUGGUCGAGAUGUGGCCCAACAAGAGAAGCCCACGCCUCUGGUUCGACGCUACCUGUAAUGAAGUCUACAGAAUGUAAUCACUGUCUCGUCUUCUGGUGAGAAGUUCCUCAACCGACGGAACCUGCCUCAACCACAGGUUGGGCGUUUCGUCCUGGUCUAGCAGCAGCAGCAGUUGGGACAGCAGCGUCCUGUCAGAGCUGUUGGAGUCAUUGGACGGCGCCUGGUUGGGCCACCGACUGCUUCCAGAGUCUCUUGUUGACCAUGUGCC